GUCCAACUGAAGAGUCUCAAAUAGGACGAAACAUGCGUCCUGGAU
rnacentral:hammerhead_ribozyme from 1 species